rnacentral:rRNA from 1 species
UGAAUACGAGAUGCUACGGCGUCGAAGCAGUCUAUGUCAUACUUCCAAGAAAAGCUUGCACUGUCAUAAACAAAUAAUGCCUGUACCAUAACCGACACAGGUGGGUAGGUAGAGUAUACUAAGGGGCGCGAGAUAACUCUCUCUAAGGAACUCGGCAAAAUGACUCCGUAACUUCGGGAGAAGGAGUGCCCUAUUUUAUAAGGUUGCAAUAACAAGAUCCAAGCAACUGUUUACCAAAAACACAGGUCUCCGCUAAGUCGUAAGACGAUGUAUGGGGGCUGACGCCUGCCCAGUGCCAGAAGGUUAAAGAAGUUGGUUAGCAUCCGCGAAGCUGAUAACUGAAGCCCUGGUGAACGGCGGCCGUAACAAUAACGGUCCUAAGGUAGCGAAAUUCCUUGUCGGGUAAGUUCCGACCCGCACGAAAGGCGUAAUGAUUUGGAUACUGUCUCAGAGAGGGGCUCGGUGAAAUAGACUUGUCUGUGAAGAUGCGGACUACCUGCACCAGGACAGAAAGACCCUAUGAAGCUUUACUGUAACUUGAAAUUGAAAUUGGACUUUACUUGCGCAGUAUAGGUGGGAGGCGUUGAGAAUAUUCUUGCGGGAAUGUUGGAGCCAUCAGUGAGAUACCACUCUUGUAAUGUUAGAUUUCUAACUUUGUAUCAUUAUCUGGUCAAAGGACAGUUUCAGGCGGGCAGUUUGACUGGGGCGGUCGCCUCCCAAACGGUAACGGAGGCGCACAAAGGUUUCCUCUGAACGGGUAGAAAUCGUAUCUAGAGUGUAAAGGCAUAAGGAAGCUUGACUGUGAGACCUACAAGUCGAGCAGGGACGAAAGUCGGUCUUAGUGAUCUGACGGUGCUGAGUGGAAAGGCCGUCACUCAACGGAUAAAAGUUACUCUAAGGAUAACAGGCUGAUCUCCCCCAAGAGUUCACAUCGACGGGGAGGUUUGGCACCUCGAUGUCGGCUCAUCGCAUCCUGGGGCGGUAGUACGUCCCAAGGGUUGGGCUGUUCGCCCAUGAAAGCGGUACGCGAGCUGGGUUCAGAACGUCGUGAGACAGUUCGGUCCAUAUCCGGUGUAGGCGUUAGAAUAUUGAGAGGAGCCUUCUUUAGUACGAGAGGACCGAGAAGGACAUACCUCUGGUGUACCAGUUAUCGUGCCAACGGUAAACGCUGGGUAGCUAUGUAUGGAAUGGAUAACCGCUGAAAGCAUCUAAGUGGGAAGCCCACCUCAAGAUAAG